UAGUGACCCAAAUCUUCCCAAAUGCAAAAUCCAAAAAAAUAAAAAAAAUCUAAAUAUAAUACGUCAAAAGAAUAAUCAAGAAUUGGCAAGUUCAUUUAUCUUCCUCGGUAGCUACCCUCUUCAUUCCAGCUGAAAUCCUAUCUCAAAAUUGAUGAAACAACUUGGAGUAAGUCAAAGCUUGUAUCUAUACUUCACAUUUUUGCAUCUUCUCAAGUUUGGGUUAUUUUCAAUCUUUGUGUUCAAGCUUCUCACGAACACCAUGAAAACAAUCCCAUUGAAUACUUCUUCAACUUAAGAAGAGAAGAUCUGCUAGAGCUAGUAACACUGCAUAGAUCAAGAACUCUACAACAAUGACAUUAAUCUCUCUUAUCAACUAUUGUGACCUUUUGUCUCCCUCGGCCUUUGUUGUUGUAUUGGUACCAGAAGAUGAACUAAAUGAUGGCAUCGUAGUUCUGAGACAUAGGGACUUCUACUGAAGGUCUUAACCUAACUGACGGGGUGAGUCUUCAUCCCUGCAUUCGCUCGGUGCUAAGUAUUACUCCUAACUGAAUAAGAAUUGAUAACCAGAAUGAUCAUUAAUAAUAAUAUUCUGAAGACUAAAAAUAAGUACUUUAUUUGAAAGAAUUUAAAACCAUGAAAACUGAAGGAUUGAAUAUUCAUAAAUAUAUGCAUGAAAUCCUAGGUUAUCAGGUGUUCAUAACUCGCCAUCUCUGAAGAAUACAACUACAAUGAGAAUUACCAUAAACUGAAUAAAAUAAGAAAUUUUAUAACUCAAGUUUGUGAAUCAAAAAUUACAUAAUAUAAUGAGGGAUUGAAAUUAUAGAGAUACAAUGAUAGUUAAAUUCAUGGUAAAACAUGGGUUUAUAUCUCAAUGACAAAGAACUUAAUUAUCAAGUAAUUCACAAUAAUCAUGACCCUUAGGCUUUGAGAAAAGAAUUAAACUAAGGAUUUUAGUUAACGUUGGGAUUCAAUGGUGAAAGGAAACUCAUUAAUGAAACUACAAAUACCUGAGGGUAGAACCCUCAAAGAAUUUCAUGAAAUUGGGGCAUGAAAGUGAAAAACCCUAUUUCUUUCUUUAUUGGGAGAAAAUCGCCUCUUUUCGUAUUUUUAACUAAGUGUUGGAUUUUUGGAGUGAGUGAGAGGAUAAGUGUCAUGAACUAAAACAGUGCCUAGUUGUGACGGGUAUCUCAAGCUCACCAUGAGCUGGAGACCACCCCCUAAGCCUAACAUCCAGAACACAAUAAAAGAAUAUAGCGGAAGAUAACCAAACAUGACUAUAUGAAAAAUAGAUAGACUAAACAAGAACUAAGACUCAAAACAAACAAACAACCAAAAUUUGUCCACAAAAGACUCUAAAACUAGAAAUACCAACUAAGUCGGGACAUUCCCUCGACUAUGACCGAAAGAAUCCAAAAUAAAAUACUAAACAAUACUGAAAAUAAUAAAGAAACCAACAAAAUGACAAGACCUUUCCAAAGAUUGCGGCUCACCACUUCAUAAAUGAUCCAUAGGAAUCACGAAUAACCUAAUUCAGCAUGGGUAUAAUACCAUGAGUCUUCAUGUUCUAAGCCUCUCAAAAGAAUGGCCAUUUAGUUAGCAUUCCAAUUUCACAAGCCCUACCCUAAUCCGACAUCGUGUCAAAAAGUUAUGAAAGUUUCUCCCUAGGAGUUUGUCAGCUCUUAGUGACCACGACUCACUUGAUGACUCGUAACCAUACCUUACGAGUCAUUACAAAGAGUCGUAGUCACAAAAGUAAGGGUCCCAAGUUUCAACCCAGUGAUGGCGACUCAACCCUACGAUUUGUUACUAGACGUUAUGAGUUGUAAGAAAGAACUCAUUAUCAUAAUAGCGUAUGCCCAAGAAUCCAGUCCAGUGGUCACUAGUCCAGCAUACGACUCAUCAUCAGACCUUACGAGUUAUUGUGUGGACUCAUCACUUGACCAAUGUAUGAUCCAAGGACCAAGCCUCAGACUACGACUUCACCCAAUGACUCGUAUUUAGUCAUUAUGAGUCUUUAGGUGGCAAGUCAUAGUCAUAAGAGAAUGUACCCAGGAUCCUAGGUUACGACUCAGGCCACGAGUCGUAACUAGUCGUAACAUAUCGUGGGGUGAGUCUUAACAACUGGGAGUGAGUUUUCCUACACGUAUUUCUAGGGACUUUUAUAUCUUUUCCCACUCCCUUAAAAACCAAACCCAUAUUGUUAUGGAUUCCCAAAGGGUGGUAUAAAAGACCCAAAUUCCCCAAUUCAUGACAUAAUCAUAAACUUCACCCAACAAAGAUCAAAAGAGACAAUAUUCCAAUCUUCCUCAAGCAACUAGGGUUCCUCAAGGGAAAGGUCAAAUCCAAGAAAUUCUCCAAAGAUUCCACUCUCAGGUAAGUGGGAUUUCAUCAAUGAUCCCUUUCACCCAUUGAGUCCUAAGAAUUCCCUAUUCUUACAAGUAUAAACCCUUUUUUCUCUUUUAUGGAAUUUCAAAGAAAACAUGAAGUGACAUAAAUCUCUCUCAAUUUAUCGAAUACAAACCAUGAGAAUAUGUUUCCCUUGUGAAUUAUGUUUCUAUACAUUUGAUAAUCUUAGUCACCCAUACCAUGUUCAGUUGAUGCCAUGUCGAGUAAUAUUUACGAUUUUCCAUCUCAUGAUUACUUUAUCAUCAUCACGAUCAGUUGCAUUAGUCUAUGCUGGUGGGUUAUAAAUACUCGAUACCUAGUUGUGACGGGUAUCUCAAGCUCACCAUGAGCUGGAGACCACCCCCUAAGCCUAACAUCCAGAACACAAUAAAAGAAUACAGCGGAAGAUAACCAAACAUGACUAUAUGAAAAAUAGAUAGACUAAACAAGAACUAAGACUCAAAACAAACAAACAACCAAAAUUUGUCCACAAAAGACUCUAAAACUAGAAAUACCAACUAAGUCGGGACAUUCCCUCGACUAUGACCGAAAGAAUCCAAAAUAAAAUACUAAACAAUACUGAAAAUAAUAAAGAAACCAACAAAAUGACAAGACCUUUCCAAAGAUUGCAGCUCACCACUUCAUAAAUGAUCCAUAGGAAUAACGAAUAACCUAAUUCAGCAUAGAUAUAAUACCGUGAGUCUUCAUGUUCUAAGCCUCUCAAAAGAUUGGCCAUUAGUUAGCAUUCCAAUUUCACAAGCCCUACCCUAAUCCGACAUCAUGUCAAAAAGUUAUGAAAGUUUCUCCCUAGGAGUUUGUCAGCUCUUAGUGACCACGACUCACUUGAUGACUCGUAACCAUACCUUACGAGUCAUUACAAAGAGUCGUAGUCACAAAAGUAAGGGUCCCAAGUUUCAACCCAGUGAUGGCGACUCAACCCUAUGAUUUGUUACCAGACGUUAUGAGUUGUAAGAAAGAACUCAUUAUCAUAAUAGCGUAUGCCCAAGAAUCCAGUCCAAUGGUCACUAGUCCAGCAUACGACUCAUCAUCAGACCUUACGAGUUAUUGUAUGGACUCAUCACUUGACCAAUGUAUGAUCCAAGGACCAAGCCUCAGACUACGACUUCACCCAACGACUCGUAUUUAGUCAUUAUGAGUCUUUAGGUGGCGAGUCAUAGUCAUAAGAGAAUGUACCCAGGAUCCUAGGUUACGACUCAGGCCACGAGUCGUAACUAGUCGUAACAUAUCGUGGGGUGAGUCUUAACAACUGGGAGUGAGUUUUCCUACACGUAUUUCUAGGGACUUUUAUAUCUUUUCCCACUCCCUUAAAAACCAAACCCAUAUUGUUAUGGAUUCCCAAAGGGUGGUAUAAAAGACCCAAAUUCCCCAAUUCAUGACAUAAUCAUAAACUUCACCCAACAGAGAUCAAAAGAGACAAUUUUCCAAUCUUCCUCAAGCAACUAGGGUUCCUCAAGGGAAAGGUCAAAUCCAAGAAAUUUUCCAAAGAUUCCACUCUCAGGUAAGUGGGAUUUCAUCAAUGAUCCCUUUCACCCAUUGAGUCCUAAGAAUUCCCUAUUCUUACAAGUAUAAACCCUUUUUUCUCUUUUAUGGAAUUUCAAAGAAAACAUGAAGUGACAUAAAUCUCUCUCAAUUUAUCGAAUACAAACCAUGAGAAUAUGUUUCCCUUGUGAAUUAUGUUUCUAUACAUUUGAUGAUCUUAGUCACCCAUACCAUGUUCAGUUGAUGCCAUGUCGAGUAAUAUUUACGAUUUUCCAUCUCAUGAUUACUUUAUCAUCACCACGAUCAGUUGCAUCAGUCUAUGCUGGUGGGUUAUAAAUACUCGAUACCUAGUAAUUAUGCAUGUUACAAUUUUCAGGUUACAAAUCAUUUAGAUUAUACUUGUAUCAUUAUCAUUUAGAACAUUAUCAUGAUAAGCAUUUAUCAAUAUCAGAUUAUGUUAAGUGAAUAUCAGCACUCAUGUUAUUCAGUUGGGAGUAAUACUUAGCACCGAGUAAAUGCAAGAAUGAUGGCUCCCCCAUCAGUUAGGCAUGAGACUGUUGGUAGCAGUCCCUGAGUUCCAGAACUACGUUGCUACCAUAGGUUAUGAGGAUUCCCCAACCAGAAGAGAGAAGAGACAUGACACACUAGUCCUUCAAGAUAUCAUAUUAGUGGAUCCACGCCAGCCAGUAUUGGUACCCUAGUGUUCACAAUAGGUACCAGAUCAUGGAUUAGCUUGGGGUUACUCAUGACUUUAAGAACCAUGUUUUGACUAGGGGAUAGCCUCGUGUCGUGACAACAGGAGCAACAGAAAAUUCUUCAAACCCCACAUCAUGAGGUCCAAAUGCACAGGCUCCAGAUCACACUUAGCAGUUCAGAUAAUUAGCAGCAACUACAGUGGUUUUAAUGACUCAUGGGGCUAUGGUAACUUUCUUUCCAAUUGAGGUUGUUGGUUCUAUCAUCAGAUUCUUGUGAUUAAUGAGCAGCUAUCUCCAACUUAGAGAAAUAUUGAUUAUGUUCCAUAUGAUUAAUCACCCUUUCUUGAUAAUUUGUCUUAUCCAGCUGUAAUUUAUCCUUCUUAUUGUAUUUUGCCUUAUUAGAUAUAUCAUUGGACUGAUGUAUUUGGAAUCCCAUAGCUGAUAAUAUGUCUUAUCCCGUUUUGCUUUUA